AUCUGCAUAAAGUAUUACAAACAAAAUCCUCUUGAUGAGCAACACAUUUUUCAGCUGCCAGUCAGACCAACUGCUGUAAAGAACUUAUAUCAAAGUGAGAAGCCACAGAAAUGGAGAGUGGAAAUAUAUAGUGGUCAAAAGAAGAUUAAGACAGUUUGGCAACUGAGUGACAGCUCACCCAUAGACCAUCUGAAUUUUCACAAACCUGAUUUUUCGGAAUUAACACUAAACGGUAGCCUGGAAGAAAGGAUAUUCUUUACUAACAUGGUUACCUGCAGCCAGGUGCAUUUCAAGUGAAGUGUGCUGAUGAAGUCCUCUAUAAGGCUGGAGUGCAGUGGCGCUAUCUCGGCUCACUGCAAGCUCCGCCUCCCAG
rnacentral:lncRNA from 10 species